UACGUAGGUGGCAAGCGUUGUCCGGAUUUACUGGGCGUAAAGGGCGCGUAGGCGGCCUGCUAAGUCGAACGUGAAAUCCCCGAGCUCAACUCGGGAACUGCGUCCGAUACUGGCAGGCUUGAAUCCGGGAGAGGGAUGCAGAAUUCCAGGUGUAGCGGUGAAAUGCGUAGAUAUCUGGAGGAACACCGGUGGCGAAGGCGGCAUCCUGGACCGGUAUUGACGCUGAUGCGCGAAAGCCAGGG
rnacentral:rRNA from 1 species